GUUCCGAUAGCUCAGCCGGGAGAGCGCCGCCCCGACGUGGCGGAGGUCUCCGGUUCGAGUCCGGCUCGGAACA
rnacentral:tRNA from 1 species